GUAGAGUAAUGGAGCAAACACUGGAUGAUAUUCUUUCUGCAAUUAAACCAUCACCGGAGGACAUGAUAGCUCAAAACCAAAUUAUCGACGAGCCGUGAACUAGUGUUCAUUCUAUGGACAUUUUUCGAGAAUGUUGUGGCAUUGGAGAUUUUUGACAUUGUUCAAACAGGUGCGAUUGUGGAACCAUUUGGAUCAUUCGUCUAUGGUCUUUUCACUAGAUGGAGGGACUUGGACAUCUCCAUUGACAUACCUAACGAUUCAGACAUCUCCUCAACAGC